GGGUUUGAUUCUGGCUCAGAUUGAACGCUGGCGGGAUGCUACAUGCAAGUCGAACGGCAGCACGGACUUCGGUCGGUGGCAGUGGCGAACAAUGAAUUGGGCUGAGUAAUGUCAUCGGAACGUGCCUAGUAGCGGGGGAUAACUACGCGAAAGCGUAGUAUGCACAUACACCCUUCGGGGGAAAGCGGGGGACACUUCGGGCCUCGCACUAUUAGAGCGGCCGAUAUCGGAUUAGCUAGUUGGUGGGGUAACGGCUCUCGCCGAGCGAGCGAUCCGUAGCUGGUUUGAAGGUUGACCAGCCACACUGGGACUGAGACACGGCCCAGACUCCUACAGGAGAGGCAGCGGUGAAGUACCUUUGAACCAAUGGGGAAACCUGAUCCAGCCAUCCCGCGUGUGCGAUGAAGGCCUUCGGGUUAUUAAAGCACUUUUGGCAGGAAAAACGGCACGGGAUAAUACCCCGUGCAACUGACAAUGCCUGCAGAAUAAGCACCGGCUAACUACGUGCCAGCAGCCGCGGUAAUACGUAGGGUGCAAGCGUUAAUCGGAAUUACUGGGCGUGGCGCCGUUCGCAGGCGGUUCCGGAAAGAAGAUGUGAAAUCCCAGAGCUUAACUGGAACUGCAUUUUUAACUACCGAGCUAGAGUGUGUCAGAGGGAGGUGGAAUUCGCGACGUAGCAGUGAAAUGCGUAGAUAUGCCGGAAGACACCGAUGGCGAAGGCGGCCUCCUGGGAUAACACUGACGCUCAUGCACGAAAGUAGCAAGGAGCAAACGGGAUUAGAUACCUGGUAGUCCACGCCUAAACGAUGUCAACUAGCUGUUGGGGCCUUUGGGCCUUGGACAGCGCAACUAACGGAGGAUUGACCGCCUGGGGAGAUUACGGUCGCAAGAUUAAACUCAAAGGAAUUGACGGGGACCCGCACAAGCGGUGGAUGAUGUGGAUUAAUUCGAUGCAGCACGAAAAACCUUACACCUACCCUUGACAUGUCACGGAAUCCCGAAGAGAUUUGGGAGUGCUCGCAGAACCGGAACACAGGUGCUGCAUGGCUGUCGUCAGCUCGUGUCGUGAGAUGUUGGGUUAAGUCCUGUGAAGGCGCAUACCUAAUCAUUGGUUGCUACGAAGGGCACUCUAAUGGGGACUGCCGGUGACAAACCGGAGGAAGGUGGGGAUGACGUCAAGUCCUCAUGGCCCUUAUGGGUAGGGCUUCACGUCAGCCACAAUGAUCGGGACAGAGGGUCGCCAACCCGCGAGGGCCCAAUCCCGAAGCCGAUCGUAGUCCGGAUCGCAGUCUGCAGCUCGACUGCGUGAAGUCGGAAUCAUAGUAAUCGCGGAUCAGCAUGUCGCGGUGAAUACGUUCGGGUCUUGUACACACCGCCCGUCACACCAUGGGGAAUUAGGUUUUGCACCUGAAAUGUCAGUUAGCCUAACCGUAAGGGCAGUUACCACGGUGAAGUUCAUGACUGAAACGUUUAGCGAAGUCGUAACAAGGUAG
rnacentral:rRNA from 1 species